rfam:Culex pipiens quinquefasciatus supercont3.502 genomic scaffold, whole genome shotgun sequence.
GGCUCCGUGGCUUAAUGGUUACGGCUUCUGCCUCAUAAGCAGAAGGUUCAGAGAUCAAAUCCCGGCCGGUACCU